rnacentral:rRNA from 1 species
ACUCCUACGGGAGGCAGCAGUGGGGAAUCUUGCACAAUGGGGGAAACCCUGAUGCAGCGACGCCGCGUGAGCGAUGAAGCCCUUCGGGGUGUAAAGCUCUUUCGGCAGGGAAGAUUAUGACGGUACCUGCAGAAGCAGCUGCGGCUAACUACGUGCCAGCAGCCGCGGUAAUACGUAGGCAGCAAGCGUUGUUCGGAGUUACUGGGCGUAAAGGGUGUGUAGGCGGUGCUCUAAGUUCGUUGUGAAAUCUCUGGGCUCAACUCAGAGUCUGCUGCAGAAACUGCCGUUGAUACUAUUUGUCUUGAAUAUAGUGGAGGUGAGCGGAAUAUGUCAUGUAGCGGUGAAAUGCUUAGAUAUGACAUAGAACAUCGAUUGCGAAGGCAGCUCGCUACACUAUUAUUGACACUGAGGCACGAAAGCGUGGGGAUCAAACAGGAUUAGAUACCCUGGUAGUCCACGCCCUAAACGAUGGAUACUCGACAUCAGCGAUACACGGUUGGUGUCUGAGCGAAAGCAUUAAGUAUCCCACCUGGGAAGUACGACCGCAAGGUUGAAACUUAAAGGAAUUGACG